UGCAAAAGCAAGAGGGUUUAUUGAACAAAUGCGCAUUCGGGUGUCAGCAAUAUGGGGGAAGCUGCACACCCCAGCAAGGGUUACAGGCUCCUUAUAUAGGAAAAAACCGCAGACCAGCAUACAGGCAAGGGGCACAAAGUGAUUGAUUACAAAGUAUGAUCUCAUGUUAGAGUGGUCACCCAGGUGUGACCUGCUUUUUUCUACAAAGGAAAAACCACAGAACGUACCUUGGAAAGUCCUUGAUUGUCUGUUGGCCAGCCAGGUGUGACCCAAAGAGGGUUGUCUUGGCGAUUGCCCCCGUCUAAACCAUAGGAUGGGGCCAACUCCCUUGUAAUGGGCCAAGGCCUGUGGGAACCUUUUUCUCUCUGUGAACUAAAAUCUUUUAAACCUUUUUCUCUCAGCAAACUAAAAUAUUUCAUUCCCCCAUUUUUUUUGGUGAGGUUUUAAUCUUAAAACCUAUGGUCCUUCUUAUUGCCUGAGAGCCUGAUAUUGCUGAUUAAGAACUAGGGCUUGGGUUAUGGAUAAGCAUUAAUAAAUCGGAGUAGGUGAUUAAGAAUGUAUGGCCCAAACGUAAGCAGCGUUAAAAGAAUAAGUAGGCGUCCUAAGAGGGUGGAGAUUCCUUUAAACCAGCUUUGUUGGGACUCCCAUUCCUUUCACCGCUGGUUGAGUCUUUCUCUGAGCUUGGCCAUGGAAUCCCUAAUAACUCCAGAAUGGUUAACAUAGAAACAGCACUCCUCUUUUAGGGCAGCAUAGAGUAAUCAUGGAAUUGUUGUCCCUCCAGAGUCCCCAUCAGGGAUUGAGAGAUAUUGGCAUUCCCCCAUGUAAGGGAGUUUCUUUUGACUUAGCAUUUUAACCAGGGAAAAUGGUCGACACAUUCUUUUCCAUGCUACUUCCUGCUGACUUUGGGACGAAGUAAGGGACCCAAGAAGGCUGAAAUGCUAGUCAAAAGCAAAAAAAAAAAAGGGGGGGGGAUUUAGGCAAUGGGGAAUCCAUCAGGAGCUUCUUGUUGGCAGACUCUGUUGCAGGGGGUGUCCAUAUCAGCUGGACUGGUUCAUAUCCACAGCAAGUCUAGGGCUAGCAGUCUUUAGGAGCAGGCUGUAGUCAGCAACUGAUAUUCGUCUGCCAGAGUGGAAAUCUGUUGAGACAUGUUUAAACUGCGAACAGAAGUUAAAACUUAUAUAUCUUACUGGAACUCUUAGGCCCAUAUUUUUAGUGAUCAAAAAGGACAGGAGUUCCAAGACAAGGGAGAAAAUCCCAUCCUCAGGAACAAAUAGAUGGGAUAACAAAAGUUGUACUUAUCUGGAGUCCUUUUUUUACCUGUGAGAAGUGGAUCCAAGCUUUAUGACUUUUGAUCCUCUGAAGCCUGUAUGAACUUUAUUAUAUAAUAGGACAUAGAAGUUUUAGAUAUUUUAUUAUUAUUAGUCUGUAUUGAAAUCUUUAUUGUAGAAAAAGCAGAUAUUGGGUAUCUGUAGAACGGCAGAAAUAUAUUUGUACCUUUGAGUUCUAGCAAAAAUUACAGAUUUGGGUUAGAAGCUUGUACAUUUUUCUUCUGUCCUAGGAGAUCCAGGUAGAGAUUGAACAGGGGUGCCUUAGGCCUGAUGAAAAGCCCUUUAUGUUUAUGUCUAGAUGGCAACCAAAAUAAAUCUUAAAACCUUGAGCUUGUGACUGAACAGUUGGUAGCCAUUGCUCUACCAGCUUAUUAAAAUUUUAUUAGAUAUUAAGCUCUAUAUUUUUAUAUUUCAAAUUAUUUUUAUAUUAUUAAGACUUAUAUGUCUUUAUUUUUUUAGAUUUUUAUUUAGGAGCUAUAUCAAGGCUGACUGUUAUUGUCAAGGUGACAAAGUUAUAGCUAGUCUAAUCAUUAAUAUUAUCAGAGAUCUGAGAAGGAUAAAUUCUGUGUAACUUUUGAAUCUAUUAAAAAAUGACAGGGUCCAGUGCAUGUAAAGUUAGCCAUACCCAAGUCUCAAUAGUGUUGAGAGCAGAAGUAAAUCUUCACCAGGUCCAUAAAGUGAGAGUUUUUUCUCUCUGUGGAAGAGGGACAUGGAAAAGACUGACCUUUUUUUAUCUAGGCAAAAGUGGUACAAUCAAUUCUCCAGUGUCCUUUAUCCUGUCCACAGUCUGAGCCUAGUCCUGCCUGGCAGCAGGUGUAGCAUCUGAGCAUCAUGAUCUCUGGUCAGCGUUGUCAUAAUCUAUAGAGCCCCAUAAUCUUCUUUAGAGACCUUGGGUCACUGUCAGGAUCUGGAAUUUUCUGUCUGAUAUUAUAAACUUUUUAGUUAACAUUUUAAAUGUCAUAUUCUGCAGAUCUCUGUAGUAUUAGAAGUCUGCCUAGGUAAGUCUGGCAACUUGUUUAUUUAUAAGAAUGGCUAGUAACCUGUGUUUUUUUAAUAUCUUACAACAGGUUAGCAACUUUUAUAAAACUAAGAUUUUUAUAUUGUCAGGUUUAUCUUUAAUCAGUGUAAACAUCUGACAUACAGGUGGUCUCAGGCUACCCUUAUAAAAGAGUUUUGUUUUUAAAAUUCUAAAGAAUUGAGACCUAUGGGCUUAGUAGUUAUUUUAAGUCCUUUGUUAAACUUAGAUCAUUGUCUUACUGUACCAUAUGAAAUAAACAGCUUAAUUUUUUUUAUUAACAUUUGGAACUUAUGGCUGUGAUCUUAAAUUUUAGCUCUUUUGAUUUAAACAUAAAUAUUAACAAUAUAACAGAAGUAUAAAUAUCUUAUAACCCUAUAAAUUUGAACAUUUAAAAAUCUUUUAAUGUCUUUUUGUAGGAAUAUCAAAAAUAAAGUAUCCUUGAUAUGUUUAAAAUUAUUAUCAUCUGGGUGACUAUUAAAUUUAUGUUGUCAAUUUCCCUUGUUACCAGUUUUAACUUUUUGACAGAUUUAACCAUGAAACAGUUUUAAUAUUAUCUUUAUUAAAAAGACAUCUGAAUUCCUGAUAACCCAAAUUUAAUUACUAGAGCUCGGAGACAAAUUCUGAGUUAUGUCCACAAAUGACCGGCUAUUGUUAGAAUUAGACAGUAAAAAUAUUUGAACCAUUUUUGUUUUCUGUUUUGGCUUUUGGCUUAUAACAAAAUUUACGUUUAUACCAGAAAACAUAGGUAGAACCUUUUAACAAGUAUACAGAAUUAAUUUGGGGGGGAUAUAAAUAAAACUUUUAAACAGAAUUAAUCUGGUGUGGUUAAAAUUUUUAACCUGUUUUACUAUUAUAGAUAGAUAUGAGAGCCCAUAGUAAACAGUUUACAUUCUUCUCUGUCACUUUUACGACUUUCUGUUGACAAAUCUGUGCCUUUUUAGUUGAGGCAUGGUACCCCAGGGUUCCUAGUUUCUCCAAAAGGGCCCAGUAUCUUGUUUACAGUCCUGUUCAGUCGGGGCUGUCAGCAGGAGGUCAUCUACAUAUUGCAGAAGGAUCAGGGUAGGGUGCUGCAUUUGGAAUUUAAGUUACAAUGAAAGGGCCCACCCAGGGUGGAGGGUUGUGGGCCAGGUCUUCCCAGGUUAUGAUGUAGGGAACCUGGUCGGGGUGUCCGUGGGGUCCAGAAUUGAACACCUUUUCUUUUACCUGUAAAAUAAUCUUAAGAUUAAAAGAACCAUCCCGAGGCCACUCGGAACUGCAGAAAGUUUGUCAUUUUUUUCUUCUUGACAUCCAGGGACUGGUUAUUGGCUCGGUCCCAAACGUCUCCCCAAUGGUCUAGAGUCAAACUUAAGGGGGUUGUUAGUUGUCCUAUGGUGGUCAGAUGGUGAAAAACAAAAAAGACAAAAAGACAAACAUUGAGACAGACAGUCAGGCCAAAUAACAGAGACCGAGCGGCUACAGAUUGGCUCCAAGCCGAAACCAAAGAUUCAGACAGGGGCAGAGACUGUCGUCAACUGCUCCCAGGGACGAGGGUUGCCUGCAUGCCCUCUCCCAUUCAGAUCUCCCGUGGAUGAUCUGAAGGAUCAGGGUAGGGUGCUGCUUCUCAGUCCUCCAGGGUCGGACUCAGAGGGGUACUACUCGUCAGUCUACCUCGUGAGUCUCUACAGAGCCUGCAUAGCCUAUACAGGGCUUCCGGAUGGACAGACAAACAUAGAACAUGAAAAUAAAUGUGCCAGCCGGACUUACCUCCUCUCGGUUGUGGUAAUGAGUCUGGGGUCUCCUCAAAUUCCCAGCUCCUGGCUGGCUCGCCAAAUGAAAAGAUACCCAGACCCCUAAGGGCCUCAGGAUCCUGAGGAGCCCCCAAGACUCAGAAACCAGACCAAGAGCUGCAAAAGCAAGAGGGUUUAUUGAACAAAUGCGCAUUCGGGUGUCAGCAAUAUCGGG
ensembl:lncRNA